UUUCCGUAGGUGAACCUGCGGAAGGAUCAUUACUGUAUAACCGAGGUACGAGCGCUGUCGCUUAUACGAAUGGUCGUGCACGCCGGAGUGCCGUAACACUCAUCCACACCACCCCCCUGGUGACCACCGCGUUGGUGCUCCGUUGGCUUGUGCGGAGGGGGGCUUACGUUUUGACGCAAUCUUUGUAUGCAGUUUAGAAUGUAUUUUUUUUUUUUGCGAUCACGCAAUCAAUACAACUUUCAACAACGGAUCUCUUGGCUCUC
rnacentral:misc_RNA from 1 species